AAGGAAUGGUGAUGGCACUUUCUAAGAAGCUCCUUAAACCUCUCCCAACUCUCACAAAAAUAUUCUCCUUCUGAAUGAGUGAAAAAAGUAAUAUCAUUUCUAAGCUU